rnacentral:rRNA from 1 species
GACGGGGUUAUCAUUUUUGAAGCGAUUAGCUUGCUAAGAGUGGAAAAGCUGAUAACUUAGUGGCGGACGGGUGAGUAACGCGUGGGUAACCUGCCUUACACAGGGGGAUAACACUUAGAAAUAGGUGCUAAUACCGCAUAAGCGCACAGUCCCGCAUGGGACAGAGUGAAAAACAUUAGUGGUGUAAGAUGGACCCGCGUCUGAUUAGCUUGUUGGCGGGGUAACGGCCCACCAAGGCGACGAUCAGUAGCCGGCCUGAGAGGGUGGACGGCCACAUUGGGACUGAGACACGGCCCAAACUCCUACGGGAGGCAGCAGUGGGGGAUAUUGGACAAUGGGGGGAACCCUGAUCCAGCGACGCCGCGUGAGUGAAGAAGUAUUUCGGUAUGUAAAGCUCUGUCAGCAGGGAAGAAAGAAAUGACGGUACCUGACCAAGAAGCCCCGGCUAACUACGUGCCAGCAGCCGCGGUAAUACGUAGGUGGCGAGCGUUAUCCGGAAUGAUUGGGCGUAAAGGGUGCGUAGGCGGCCUGCUAAGUCUGGAGUGAAAGGUACCGGCUCAACCGGUACAGGCUCUGGAAACUGGCGGGCUAGAGAGCAGGAGAGGGCGGUGGAACUCCAUGUGUAGCGGUAAAAUGCGUAGAUAUAUGGAAGAACACCAGUGGCGAAGGCGGCCGCCUGGCCUGUUACUGACGCUGAGGCACGAAAGCGUGGGGAGCAAAUAGGAUUAGAUACCCUAGUAGC